AUUGAACGCUGGCGGCAUGCCUUACACAUGCAAGUCGAACGGCAGCACGGGUGCUUGCACCUGGUGGCGAGUGGCGAACGGGUGGGUAAUACAUCGGAACAUGUCCUGUAGUGGGGGAUAGCCCGGCGAAAGCCGGAUUAAUACCGCAUACGAUCUACGGAUGAAAGCGGGGGACCUUCGGGCCUCGCGCUAUAGGGUUGGCCGAUGGCUGAUUAGCUAGUUGGUGGGGUAAAGGCCUACCAAGGCGACGAUCAGUAGCUGGUCUGAGAGGACGACCAGCCACACUGGGACUGAGACACGGCCCAGACUCCUACGGGAGGCAGCAGUGGGGAAUUUUGGACAGUGGGCGAAAGCCUGAUCCAGCAAUGCCGCGUGUGUGAAGAAGGCCUUCGGGUUGUAAAGCACUUUUGUCCGGAAAGAAAUCCUUGGCCCUAAUACGGUCGGGGGAUGACGGUACCGGAAGAAUAAGCACCGGCUAACUACGU
rnacentral:rRNA from 1 species